UACGGAGGGAGCUAGCGUUGUUCGGAAUUACUGGGCGUAAAGCGCACGUAGGCGGCUUUGUAAGUUAGAGGUGAAAGCCCGGGGCUCAACUCCGGAACUGCCUUUAAGACUGCAUCGCUUGAAUCCAGGAGAGGUGAGUGGAAUUCCGAGUGUAGAGGUGAAAUUCGUAGAUAUUCGGAAGAACACCAGUGGCGAAGGCGGUUGCCUGGAGCUUUGCUGACGCUGAUGCGCGAAAGCGUGGGGAGCGAUCCGG
rnacentral:rRNA from 1 species